rnacentral:lncRNA from 1 species
GAUUGAUGACUUGGAUGCUCCAUUAUGAGAUUCUUAUGGUGUAAGCAAGUGGAGUUUGCAGAGCAUAUUUAGAUUCAUGACAGAAUGUUUAUAAAUGAGUAGAGGUUUGAAAUGGUUUCCUAUAAUGGCAGUUUCCAAAAAAAAUGCAGCACAUAUGAAUAGCGGGAACAUUUGAUUUUUCAUCUUAGAAUGAAAAUAAAUUCAGCUGCUAAAUUUUACAAUUCAUUUAGCGCCUAAAAAAUUAUAUAGUGAGAAAACUGCAAUGUAAGUUCAUGGCUUCCAGCAUUUUCUCACCACUAAGUGAGUCACUACUCAAGAAAAAGUGAUUUAUAAAUUAAUAC